rnacentral:rRNA from 1 species
AGUGAACGCUGGCGGUAGGCCUAACACAUGCAAGUCGAACGGCAGCACAGUAAGCGCUUGCUCUUACGGGUGGCGAGUGGCGGACGGGUGAGGAAUACAUCGGAAUCUACUUUUUCGUGGGGGAUAACGUAGGGAAACUUACGCUAAUACCGCAUACGACCUACGGGUGAAAGCAGGGGAUCUUCGGACCUUGCGCGAUUGAAUGAGCCGAUGUCGGAUUAGCUAGUUGGCGGGGUAAAGGCCCACCAAGGCGACGAUCCGUAGCUGGUCUGAGAGGAUGAUCAGCCACACUGGAACUGAGACACGGUCCAGACUCCUACGGGAGGCAGCAGUGGGGAAUAUUGGACAAUGGGCGAAAGCCUGAUCCAGCCAUGCCGCGUGGGUGAAGAAGGCCUUCGGGUUGUAAAGCCCUUUUGUUGGGAAAGAAAAGCAGCAGGUUAAUACCCCGCUGUUCUGACGGUACCCAAAGAAUAAGCACCGGCUAACUUCGUG